AUUGAACGCUGGCGGCAUGCCUUACACAUGCAAGUCGAACGGUAACAGGUUAAGCUGACGAGUGGCGAACGGGUGAGUAAUGUAUCGGAACGUGCCCAGUCGUGGGGGAUAACUGCUCGAAAGAGCAGCUAAUACCGCAUACGACCUGAGGGUGAAGGCGGGGGAUCGCAAGACCUCGCGCGAUUGGAGCGGCCGAUAUCAGAUUAGGUAGUUGGUGAGGUAAAGGCUCACCAAGCCGACGAUCUGUAGCUGGUCUGAGAGGACGACCAGCCACACUGGGACUGAGACACGGCCCAGACUCCUACGGGAGGCAGCAGUGGGGAAUUUUGGACAAUGGGCGCAAGCCUGAUCCAGCCAUGCCGCGUGCGGGAAGAAGGCCUUCGGGUUGUAAACCGCUUUUGUCAGGGAAGAAAAGGUUCUGGCUAAUACCUGGGACUCAUGACGGUACCUGAAGAAUAAGCACCGGCUAACUACGUG
rnacentral:rRNA from 1 species